CCUACGGGGGGCAGCAGUGGGGAAUAUUGGACAAUGGGCGAAAGCCUGAUCCAGCCAUGCCGCGUGUGUGAAGAAGGCCUUCGGGUUGUAAAGCACUUUCAGUGGGGAAGAAAGCCUUGGGGCUAAUACCCUCGAGGAAGGACAUCACCCACAGAAGAAGCACCGGCUAACUCCGUGCCAGCAGCCGCGGUAAUACGGAGGGUGCGAGCGUUAAUCGGAAUUACUGGGCGUAAAGCGCGCGUAGGCGGUCUGAUAAGCCGGUUGUGAAAGCCCCGGGCUCAACCUGGGAACGGCAUCCGGAACUGUCAGGCUAGAGUGCAGGAGAGGAAGGUAGAAUUCCCGGUGUAGCGGUGAAAUGCGUAGAGAUCGGGAGGAAUACCAGUGGCGAAGGCGGCCUUCUGGACUGACACUGACGCUGAGGUGCGAAAGCGUGGGUAGCAAACAGGAUUAGAUCCCCUAGUAGUC
rnacentral:rRNA from 1 species